GUGGGCUGCCGCUCUGCUCCGCUAGCUGCUGCGGGACAGCCGGCCUCCGGCCUCUGGGGCAGGGCUCCAGCGAGGGAGCCACCUCGCUCCAUUCAUGUGCCCAAACAUGGGAUGGGACAGCCGCCGGUGCCUCUUUCUGGAGAGGGUAUGGCCUGGCCACCAGCCCUCGCCUCGGAGCCUGUGCUUGAGGGGGCUGGCAGGGAAGCCUC